GAUGAACGCUGACAGAAUGCUUAACACAUGCAAGUCUUUGGCGAAGCUGUGCUCGCACAGCCUAGCCAAGGCGGACGGGUGAGUAACGCGUAAGGAACUUGCCCUGCAGUCAGGGAUAACAGACGGAAACGACUGAUAAGACCUGGUAAAGUCAGGCGGACUCAUGUCCAGCCUGAUGAAAAGAGAUGCUGCAGGAGAGCCUUGCGUCCUAUUAGCUUGUUGGUGGGGUAACGGCCCACCAAGGCGAUGAUAGGUAGCCGGCCUGAGAGGGUGGACGGCCACAAGGGGACUGAGAUACGGCCCUUACUCCUACGGGAGGCAGCAGUGGGGAAUAUUGGACAAUGGGGGCAACGCUGAUCCAGCACUUCUGUGUGCACGAUGAAGGUUUUCGGAUUGUAAAGGGCUUUCAGCAGGGAAGAAAAAAAUGACGGUACCUGCAGAAGAAGCGACGGCUAAAUACGUG
rnacentral:rRNA from 1 species